rnacentral:piRNA from 1 species
AUGUAUGAUGACGGAACUUUUUUCCCCAU